GGUGAUACUUGUUAUACUUAAUCCUUGAUAAUUGACCAUUUUCAUCAGCAAGUUUUGUUCAUUUCAGUGGUAUUGUUUACAUUCAUUGCCGCCAAUAUGGCCUGUUGAUGACAUGUCGUGAAAACUUAACCUUAUUGUAAAUAGCCUGCCUCUACCAUUCAGAUUCCCCUCAAGAGGUCUCCCGGAUUUUGGUACCUAUACACUGACAGUUUACUCUGCAGUGGAAAGAUCAAUUUUGUUAACACUGAUUUCAUUUAAUUGGUAAAAGCCCUAUAGUAUGUUAUCAUAUUAAAUGAAAUGUGCUGCACUUUAUUUCAUAUUCCUCCCCAACCAUAAAAUGUUCAGCUGUUUCUUAAUAGUAUAGGCUGUACUAGUUGUAAAAUGGCACAUGUUUAUAUAUAUAUAUAUAUAUAUAUAUAUACACUACUGCUCAGAAGUUUGGGAUCAGUAAGACUUGUAAUGUUUUUUUUUAAAGAAGUCUCUUAUGUUCAUCAAGGCUGCAUUUAUUUGAUCAAAAAUACAGAAAAAAAAACAGUAAUACUGCAUAAUGUUAUUACAAUAUAAAAUAAUGGUUUUUAUUUUAAUAUACUUUAAAAUGUAAUUUAUUCCUGUGAUGCAAACCUAAAUUUUCAUCAGCUGUUACUCCAGUCGUAAGUGUCACAUAAAUCUCCAGAAAUCAUUCUAAUAUGCUGAUUUACUAUUAGAAUUAUCAAUGUUGGAAACAGUUGCUGCCAAAUAUAUAUAUAUAUAUAUA